rnacentral:rRNA from 1 species
UUGGAGGGCAAGUCUGGUGCCAGCAGCCGCGGUAAUUCCAGCUCCAAUAGCGUAUAUUAAAGUUGUUGCAGUUAAAAAGCUAGUAGUUGAAUUUCGGGAUCAAUUUAUUGGUCGUGCCAACGGUACGCACUGGUACAAUUGGUUUCUCCCUUCUGACGAAGCAUGAUGUCAUUAAUUUGAUGUCGUGGGGAAUCAGGACUGUUACUUUGAAAAAAUUAGAGUGUUUAAAGCAGGCUUUGGCUUGAAUACAUUAGCAUGGAAUAAUGAAAUAGGACGUUUGAUCUUAUUUCGUUGGUUUCUAAGAUCGACGUAAUGAUUAAUAGGGAUAGUUGGGGGCAUUAGUAUUCAAUUGUCAGAGGCAAAAUUCUUGGAUUUAUUGAAGACUAACUACUGCGAAAGCAUUUGCCAAGGAUGUUUUCAUUAAUCAAGAACGAAAGUUAGGGGAUCGAAGACGAUCAGAUACCGUCGUAGUCUUAACCAUAAACUAUGCCGACUAGGGAUCGGAUGAUGUUAAUUUUUUAAUGACUCAUUCGGCGCCUUACGGGAAAC